AGAGUUCUAUCCUGGCUCAGGAUGAACGCUGGCGGCGUGCUUAACACAUGCAAGUCGAACGAUUAACCCGCCCUCGGGCGGUUAUAGAGUGGCAAACGGGUGAGUAACACGUGACCAACCUGCCCCUUGCUCCGGGACAACCCAGGGAAACCUCAGCUAAUACCGGAUACUCCGCGCAGCCCGCAUGGGGGGCGCGGGAGAGCCCAGACGGCAAGGGAUGGGGUCGCGGCCCAUUAGGUAGACGGCGGGGUAACGGCCCACCGUGCCCGCGAUGGGUAGCCGGGUUGAGAGACCGAUAGCCCACAUUGGGACUGAGAUACGGCCCAGACUCCUACGGGAGGCAGCAGUGGGGAAUUUUGCGCAAUGGGGGAAACCCUGACGCAGCAACGCCGCGUGUGGGACGAAGGCCUUCGGGUUGUAAACCGCUUUCAGCAGGGAAUAUAGUGAAGGUACCUGCAGAAGAAGCUCCGACUUACUACGCACCAGCAGCCGUGAUAAUAAGUAGGCAACGAUCAUCAUCGAGGAUUCAUUGGGAGUGAAGCGGGAGUAGGCGGCCCGUCUAGCGGGGUUUCUAAUCCAGGUGAUCCACCUCUGGCCGUACCCAGAACUGGCGGUCUAGAGUGCGGUAGAGGAAGGUAGAAUUCCCAGUGUAGCGGUGAAAUGCGCAGAUAUUGGGAAGAACACCGAUGGCGAAGGCAGCCUUCUGGGCCGCCACUGACGCUGAGGCGCGAAAGCUAGGGGAGCGAACAGGAUUAGAUACCCCUGGUACUCCUAGCCGUAAACGAUGGGCACUAGGUGUGGGGGAGCAUCUCCUCCGUACCGCAGCCAAUGCAUUAAGUGCCCCGCGUGGGGAGUACGACCGCAAGGCUUCAACUCAAAGGAAUUGACGCGGCCCCGCACAAGCAGCGGAGCAUGUGGUUUAAUUCGAAGCAACGCGCAGAACCUUGCCUGGGCUUGACAUGCAGGUGAAGCGGCGGAAACGCCGUGGCCGAGACGAGCCUGCGCAGGUGGUGCAUGGCUGUCGUCAGCUCGUGUCGUGAGAUGUUGGGUUAAGUCCCGCAACGAGCGCACCCCCUGUCGCGUGUUGCCAGCAUUGAGUUGGGGACUCGCGCGAGACUGCCGGCGUCAAGCCGGAGGAAGGUGGGGACGACGUCAAGUCAUCAUGCCCCUUAUGCCCUGGGCUGCACACGUGCUACAAUGGCCAGGACAACGAGCCGCCAACUCGCGAGAGUGAGCAAAUCUCUAAAACCUGGUCUCAGUUCGGAUUGCACUCUGCAACUCGAGUGCAUGAAGUCGGAAUCGCUAGUAAACGCAGAUCAGCACGCUGC
rnacentral:rRNA from 1 species